rnacentral:rRNA from 1 species
UGACCUCAUGCCGAACUCAGAAGUGAAACGCCGUAGCGCCGAUGGUAGUGUGGGGUCUCCCCAUGUGAGAGUAGGGAACUGCCAGGC